CUUUCUCUCUGGCCCUGGAUAUAUAGGUUAAAUUUGAAUAAGAGAAAAGUAAGUAUAUCAAAAUGAAAUCUAAGUGUAUACGUCUCUGAACAUAUUUCAUGACGGAAAUCCCCAAGUUCAUUUCAUAGAAGACCAAAAUAUUUACCAAAUUGGGGGACUCUUCAGGCAAUGACAUUGAACUCCUACUAUUGCUGUCAUCUCGUCCAAAGAUAAAAGAUCUUCCAGUGCUUGGUCCACGCCUAUGGCUUGAUGGCCCGGGAUGGCAGGAUGCUCGCUGCAGAAAGGAAGACUAGAAUUCCAAAAGCAAAGCAUCAAGUGAAGGAAUGAAUAUAUUUAAAGUAUUUCAAGUUAAUAUAAUACACUUGAGAAAGUAUAGCAUACAACAAGACAGAUUAAGUUGCUUGAAAACUAUUUCCAUCUAACACUCCCUAUCCAGCAGCUCAUAAGGCUUUCACCUUCCUUUUGUCAUUGUGAGUUAAGACAUUUUAAUCUUCCACAAAUGUAAUGUUAUUAUAGGUCA